UAUAGCUGUAGAAUACAUUGCAUAUAAAUCGCAAAUACUUAAUAUAUAACGAAAACACAAUUACAAACACAAAGUUAACUAAUAAUUUUUUUUAUAGUAGUGUUAUUCAUAAAAAAAAAAAGAAAUCUAGACUAGUUUAGAAACUUCAAUAAACUCGUAUAUUGCCUAAGGCUUUUAUCCAAUCAAAACAUUCUACAUGAGUUAUCGAUCCAGACCAAUGUACAUACAGUAGAGAUGACAUCAAAAGACACACAAUCACUACCUGAAAAAAAAGUAAAACAAAUGGUAUAAAUCGAAGUACAAAAAAAAAUUAAAUUAUUGCCGUAAUCAAAUGCUACAUAAUUAUAAAAAAAUUGGAGUUUGGGCACUACUUUUAUAUAAAUUAUGGUCCAUCCGCCAACUUGACAUUUUGUUAAAGGACUGCUUAAAAUGUACUGUAGAUGAAUAAACUAGAAGUUGAUAGACUUGGUGACACAUCAUCUCUCUAGAUAAUCCAAUAGUAUUGUUUUGUAAGACAAGAACAUUUAGUUCUUCUGUCUGUUGAAAGGACGUUGUCACGAUUUUAUAUCGUGAGCACAAUCAAAUUUGCUGAUUAUUUCGUGAUAACUAAAUUGGUUAAAACUUGCGUUCUAUAAAGCAACAAUUAAAAUACUAAGUACAGAUUUAUAUAUAAUUUAAAAUUAUUCAACGCACGAAUGAAAGACUUAAUAAUAGGAUUGU